UGAGCAGGCUGAACAGCCGCGGGCGAUAGCCGAAAGGCUCCGCCUGAGGAAAGUCCGAGCUCCACAGGGCAGGAAUAGCGGUUAACGGCCGCCGGGGGCGACCCUAGGGAUAGUGCAACAGAAAGUUACCGCCGGCUUUGCCGGUAAGGGUGGAAAGGCGAGGUAAGAGCUCACCAGCGCGCAGGAGACUGCGCGGCUGUGUAAACCCUAUUCGGAGCAACACCGCAGAGGAACGUAUCGCGCCGGCCCGGCGUGUUCCGAGAAGGUGGCGUCGAGCCGUGAUGGCAACAUCCGGCCAAGAUAGAUGGCUGUUCACGACAGAACUCGGCUUAUAGGCCUGGUCAUAAC
rnacentral:RNase_P_RNA from 19 species